UGAGGAAUAUUGGGCAAUUCCCGCAAGGGUGACCCAGCAACGCCGCGUGGAGGAUGAAUGUCGUAAGAUUGUAAACUCCUGUUAGAGGGGAAGAAUAGUACCGGUUGGACCGGUAUAUGACUGUACCCUCAGAGAAAGCCCCGGCUAACUACGUGCCAGCAGCCGCGGUAAUACGUAGGGGGCAAGCGUUGUCCGGAUUUCCUGGGUGUAAAGGGCGCGCAGGCGGGAUAAAAAGUCAGUGGUGAAAUCCUACAGCUUAACUGUAGAACUGCCUUUGAUACUUGUAUUCUUGAGUUCGGGAGAGAGAGACGGAAUUCCAGGUGUAGUGGUGAAAUACGUAGAUAUCUGGAAGAACACCAGUUGCGAAGGCGGUCUCUUGAUCCGACACUGACGCUGAGGCGCGAAAGCGUGGGGAGCAAAC
rnacentral:rRNA from 1 species